UACAGAGGGUGCAAGCGUUGUCCGGAAUUAUUGGGCGUAAAGAGCUCGUAGGCGGUUUGUCGCGUCUGCUGUGAAAACUCGGGGCUUAACCCCGAGCCUGCAGUGGAUACGGGCAGACUAGAGGUAGGUAGGGGAGAAUGGAAUUCCCGGUGUAGCGGUGAAAUGCGCAGAUAUCGGGAGGAACACCGGUGGCGAAGGCGGUUCUCUGGGCCUUACCUGACGCUGAGGAGCGAAAGCGUGGGGAGCGAACAGG
rnacentral:rRNA from 1 species